rnacentral:rRNA from 1 species
CCCGCUGAACUUAAGCAUAUCAAUAAGCGGAGGAAAAGAAACCAACAGGGAUUGCCUCAGUAACGGCGAGUGAAGCGGCAAGAGCUCAAAUUUGAAAGCUGGCCCCUUCGGGGUCCGCGUUGUAAUUUGCAGAGGAUGCUUCGGGUGCAGCCCCCGUCUAAGUGCCCUGGAACGGGCCGUCAUAGAGGGUGAGAAUCCCGUCUGGGACGGGGUGUCUGCGUCCGUGUGAAGCUCCUUCGACGAGUCGAGUUGUUUGGGAAUGCAGCUCUAAAUGGGUGGUAAAUUUCAUCUAAAGCUAAAUACUGGCCGGAGACCGAUAGCGCACAAGUAGAGUGAUCGAAAGAUGAAAAGCACUUUGAAAAGAGAGUUAAACAGCACGUGAAAUUGUUGAAAGGGAAGCGUUUGCGACCAGACUCGCCCGCGGGGUUCAGCCGGCAUUCGUGCCGGUGUACUUCCCCGUGGGCGGGCCAGCGUCGGUUUGGGCGGCCGGUCAAAGGCCCUCGGAAUGUAUCACCUCUCGGGG